CCUACGGGUGGCAGCAGGGAGGAAUAUUGGUCAAUGGGCGAGAGCCUGAACCAGCCAAGUCGCGUGAGGGAGUACUGCCCUAUGGGUUGUAAACCUCUUUUGUCGGGGAGCAAAAGCCGGACGUGUCCGGCUUUGAGAGUACCCGAAAACAAAGCAUCGGCUAACUCCGUGCCAGCAGCCGCGGUAAUACGGAGGGUGAGAGCGUUAUCCGGGUUUAGUGGUGUAAACGGGUGCGCAGGCGGAUUGUUAUGUCAGCGGUCAAAGCGUGGGGCUCAACCCCAUCCAGCCGUUGAGCCUGGGGAUCUAGAGUGUGCGAGAGGUAUGCGGAAGGCGUGGUGUAGCGGUGAAAUGCAUAGAUAUCACGCAGAACCCCGAUUGCGAAGGCAGCAGACCGGUGCACAACUGACGCUCAGGCACGAAAGCGUGGGUAUCGAACAGGAUUAGAUACCCUAGUAGUC
rnacentral:rRNA from 1 species